rnacentral:lncRNA from 1 species
UCGCUGUGCAUUUGCUGAUUAAAGAUACCCUAUCUCCUUUGUUUUUCUAUUGUAUUACGAUAUUUUGACUUUUUACGAUUUUCUGGGACGUUCUCCCUUUACUGAUUUAUAUUGAUGCAGACAUUUAGCAAGCAAACUAGUCAGUACAUUAGGCUACAGACGACAUUGAUGUUGUAGUGUCCCUUCUGACUUGAUAUGAUGGAUAUCUCUAGUUAUUUAAAGGUAAAAAA